CUGCACUGUCAAGUGACUGAAUGGCUGUUCAGUUGGCUUUUCGGUCUCAUUCCAGUGCUAGAUCAACCUCAGUUUGCAGAAGGACUGAGCUAGACAGCUGGCUCCUUCCUUUCGAAGGCUGAGCACAGAU
ensembl:snoRNA small nucleolar RNA SNORA35